AAGCUUAACCCCUCCUAAGACUUUAAGUUAAUAAACUAUAAACCUUCAAAGUUUAUUUUAUUGGUUCAAUCCAGUAAGGCUUG
rnacentral:tRNA from 1 species